GGAAGCGUGCCUGAAUUAAAGGAUCACUUUGAUAGAGUGAACCAUGAAUGUUAAAAUCAUUCCACUUCCU
rnacentral:tRNA from 1 species